rnacentral:rRNA from 1 species
AGAGAUGCAUUGGGCGUAAAGCGUGCGCAGGCGGUUUUGUAAGACAGAGGUGAAAUCCCCGGGCUCAACCUGGGAGCUGCCUUUGUGACUGCAAGGCUGGAGUGCGGCAGAGGGGGAUGGAAUUCCGCGUGUAGCAGUGAAAUGCGUAGAUAUGCGGAGGAACACCGAUGGCGAAGGCAAUCCCCUGGGCCUGCACUGACGCUCAUGCACGAAAGCGUGGGGAGCAAACA